UGAAUGAAUGAAUGACAGCUUUGGCUUUUUCAGCAACAGUGGGCUUUUUCAGCCUGUGACCCUGUUGUGUAAUAUUUUCUAGUCACCACUAGAGGGCAGACUCCGUUGCCCUAUAACUCUACUGGAAGUUACGCACAGAAUGACACGCCAUAAUAGAAGUGCACACGUGCACUGUUGAUUAGAAGGAGCAGUGUUGUGGAUUUGAUCUGUGUAAAAAGAAAGUGGCUGGAUAGCCUUAUACUAGAAGUCGAAAUGAACCCAGGUCAUGUGACAAACUAAUAGAUAUUUGAGAAUAAACUCCUGCUUAACACCAAUUGAAUGCCAAAGUUCAGUUACACAGACUCUCAAAGCGUUUUAAACUUUAUGAAUGAUGCGUUCGCAGUGGAUUUUCACCUGCUGGAAAGUAAUGCCUCAGCUUCUGUGACGUUUAUUUACUGAUUAUAGACUGCUCAUUUGUUUACAGGCUGAACUAAUAGGCAGAUGGCCACAAUCUCUCCACGAUCAGACUCCCGGAUGGUUGAGUGGAAGUGGCUGCUCUCAAACACGGCAUAGAGGGAUAAUGGGUGUAAUGAGAAGAGUUGACUGACAACUAAGAGGGAAAUGAAGAAAGAGAAUGGGAAAAAUGAAAGGAGAACUGAGUCUCGCACUACUGAGGGGGCAGCAUGAGCAGUCGCAGUGCAUCUGCCCCGGGAUGGGCCUCCGCGUCUGCCACUGCACCACACCGGUUCAGCAAGCAGAGUCCAAAUGAUGACGCAACUGUGCCAGAAGCAGUUUACGAAAGAAAACAUGAAUAAUGACAAGAACCGCCGAGGAAUCGUCCAGAGUGCUUGAGGAGCAAGAGCAAGCAGGACAAACUCAGAAGGAAAAGCAGGAUGUCCCUGAGGAUUGGCCCUAUUGACUACGCCAGGAUCCCACAAUCCUUUGGCUCUCCUCUGGCGGUGUCUUUCUUUAGCCCUGAUUUUGGAUGUUGGCAGGCAAGUUUCUUUUCUUUGGCAUUGCGACGCUGCAGCAGCAUGCCAGCUGUUUACGCCUCUUUGUCUUUCAUUUACGCCGUGUUCCUCUUCUAGACACUGAUGAUGAACUGCUACAACUACUUCCACUACACUAGCACCCCCUCCUCCUUCUCACAGUUUCUCCUCUUUUUCUCUUUGACGUGAAAUUCCUGUGUGUGUUGAAUCAUUUCGCUGCAUUCUCACUCGGAUCUAUCACUAGGUUUUUGGCAGCAGACACUUGCAGAAAUCAUAGUUAAUGCUAUUAACAUCAGCCAAUUAUCUGACUAUUAAUUGACUUAUUUGUCACUCUAAGAGCGCAAAUGGGCCCUGAGGUUAAUUAUAUGUUGGGUGCAUUGGAAUCUACUGCCCAGGACUUAAUGUGAAAAAGCCUCUAAAGAUUUAGAGAGUUGGAAAGCUAAAAUCAAUAGCGAUUCUCAGUCGUGAAACUGUCAAAAAGGCAGGAUUUGCAAUUCAUUCUGAUAAAAGUUGAUCUGCUCUGAAAUAUGGAA